rnacentral:rRNA from 1 species
UACGGGGGGGGCAGGCGUUGUUCGGAAUUACUGGGCGUAAAGGGCUCGUAGGCGGCCAACUAAGUCGGACGUGAAAUCCCUCGGCUUAACCGGGGAACUGCGUCUGAUACUGGUUGGCUUGAAUCCGGGAGAGGGAUGUGGAAUUCCAGGUGUAGCGGUGAAAUGCGUAGAUAUCGGGAGGAACACCAGUGGCGAAGGCGACUACUUGGCCUGUUCUUGACGCUGAGGCGCGAAAGCUAGGGGAGCAAACGGG